rnacentral:misc_RNA from 1 species
GAUGAAGAACGUAACGAAAUGCGAUAAGUAAUGUGAAUUGCAGAAUUCAGUGAAUCAUCGAGUCUUUGAACGCACAUUGCGCCCCCUGGUAUUCCGGGGGCAUGCCUGUCCGAGCGUCAUUGCCGCCCUCAAGCACGGCUUGUGUGUUGGGCCCCCGCCCCCCGGCUUCGGGGGGCGGGCCCGAAAGGCAGCGGCGGCACCGCGUCCGGUCCUCGAGCGUAUGGGGCUUCGUCACCCGCUCUGUAGGCCCGGCCGGCGCCCGCCGGCGACCCCAAUCAAUCUUUCCAGGUUGACCUCGGAUCAGGUAGGGAUACCCGCUGAACUUAAGCAUAUCAAUAAGCGGAGGA